UGCCACUGCUAGUCGGUGUGCGGGGCUGAGGGCUGCCCGGGCUUCUCUGGCGCCCAAACCGGGAGCGAGAGCGGGCUACUGGGCGCGAAGACUGGAACCGGCAGGUUGCUGGGGCUGCAUUACGCCUGCCCUCCACCCGGGGCCCGGGCGCAAGAGGCAGCUCGCGCUCCCUCCCGGAGUGCUGGAGACAGAUAUGCAAGAUGGCAGAGGAGGGGGGGAAAGCCAAUAGAAAAGGGAUAUUGCACCUACUUGUGGCCAGUUUCCUUGCCCUGCCUUUGGAUCUCAUGCUGUGCCCAGUCCUGCAGCCGCUGGUCCAGGCUGGCGCGGCAUUUGACAUCCAAGACCUCCUGCCUUCCCUAAGGUGGGCUGUCACCUUCCGGCCUCCCCUCGCUGCCCCCGUCGCCUCCCUCUGCAGCUCAGCCUGCCUACCAUUUUCACUCACUCACUCAAACCUACAACCUCUGGGGUCACAAGAAGGAGGAAGAGAGGGGAAAUUCCAUACACUCCUUAAAAAAUACAUUGUUGAAAUUCGCAUUAAUUAUAGGAUUUACCACUGAAGUGGGCAUGCAAAAAUGGGGAACUCCUAAAGGGGCUAGGUAUGUUCAAGGUAUGAAUCAAUCCUAACUCCAUAGAUUUUCUCUUGGUACAACCUCCUUGCAUUAAACAGUUUUGUUCAAUACCUUCCAUGUGCUAUUUAUGUCCCCAUUAAUAUCUGUUGCAAAUCCUGCCAGACACAAUAAAAGAAAAUUACAAUCUUUUCAGUCUC